rnacentral:rRNA from 1 species
CAGUCGCCGCGGUAAUACAGAGGGUGCAAGCGUUAAUCGGAAUUACUGGGCGUAAAGUGCGCGUAGGUGGUUUGUUAAGUUGGAUGUGAAAUCCCCGGGCUCAACCUGGGAACUGCAUCCAAAACUGGCAAGCUAGAGUAUGGUAGAGGGUGGUGGAAUUUCCUGUGUAGCGGUGAAAUGCGUAGAUAUAGGAAGGAACACCAGUGGCGAAGGCGACCACCUGGACUGAUACUGACACUGAGGUGCGAAAGCGUGGGGAGCAAACAGGAUUAGAUACCCGAGUAGUCCCUGUCUCUUAUAA